GAUAGCAGCCUAUGUGUAAGGUAUUAUUUAUUAGUGAAGCAACUUUGAACUGGAUGGCAACUUGUUCAAAUCAAAUCACUCAAGGAGUUAGGGGUGUUUGCAAGUGCUGUCUGUACUUGUGCAUUCCGAAAGUGUCUAAUGUAAAGAUGCUGUUCUGUUGAGAGUGAUCUUCAUCACUACCAAAAUGCUGAACUCCCUUUCUAAAGGUAGGUCUGAGCUUCCUGCCCCUGCUUUCCUUGCAGCGGAAGCUUAUUCCUAUGGAAAAAAUGAACCCCAAAAAGCAAAUGCCUUGGAGCAACUUCAUCACAUGCUUCUACACUGGACUAGCAGCAAGGAAGUCCCUCGGCUCCCUUCUGCUUUUGAAUGAGCCUGAUAUCUAAAUCUCAAUGAGGAAGUCAUUUGCCUGCUGCAGGAGGUCUCCCUUUGGAAGAUGCAGUUCAUAGGCAUAAGCCAGCUGCCUCCUCACCUUCUAGGGCAUCCCCUGCCUUCCCAGAGCUCAGAAGUGCUGCAGAACUGUUUCCCUUGCAGGUAUGGCCAUGCUCUCAGACAGAUGCUGUCAGCAUGAGUCUCUUUGCUGUCUCUUCUGAUUAGGCAGCUCAGGACAGGAGCUGGAUGCAGACAGCCACUUGCAGGAGCAGAGGAGAGCAGAGCUGAGCUAGCUCACAGCUGCUUCCAGGGCUGCAGUUCCCUGGGAUGGCCUUGCAGCCCUGGCCAUACAGCUUGAUGGGUGUCAUCAAGCUAUAGCUUGUGAACAAGCAACCCCACACCUACCAUGGGGGACCAGCGCAGCUCCAGACACCAAGACUCUUAAAGUUUUGCCUCUUGUAAAGCAUCCUAAGAAACCAUCCAGCUUCAGGUUCUACAAGUGGGUGCAAAUCUAAUUCCUCAAAGUCGUAACUGUGUAUCCAGUAUGGUCAGUGGCCAAGGGUCAAAGGUUCCAUAAUGGCUUUCACAGCUGUGAAAUCCCAAUGCAAGGCAAACCAAAGUCAGGUUACUUAUCUAAAUAGUUACCUAAUGCUGUGUCUUCCUGUAUCUGCAUCACAGGGUAUUAACUAAUACGCAUUAGGUCUCUACCAGGCAGGCUGUACCCAUGUAGGUUGGUUAUUGAUACCACCAGGGAAAAGCCCUUUUGUCAGAACCUCACACCUCCCUCAUUGCCCAAACAAAGCCUGUGCUCAGGGGAACACAAACCCACCCUUUCCUGGGAUUACUUGUAGCUUCUUUCUUCAAUUCUUUCUGUGUUUUUCAUUCCUGAGCUGUAACACAGGCAAGAAAGGAACCCACACUUGGAUCCCUGGAGGCAGGCAAGCUAUUGUCCUUAAAACAAAGGAACUUUUCCUUGGAAGUACCAGCAACAAUGCAAAGUGCCCAAGAGCCUUUACUUCAUCCUGGACCAGGCUUCCUGAUGGUUUCCAGGAUGCUUGUCUGGUCUGACAGCUCGGAAAUGACUGUCUACAUGGAUAUGAGGAACAUGCAAGAAACUUCAGGUUCAAGGUGACUUCUCAUCUCAGUACUGGGGACUUGGGCUUUGAGCAGACCUAAAGGAUGUUGGGUGGACAUAACAGCCCAGAAAAUCCUCCAUAUAGCAGAGGAAACUCAUUUUGAAACCUCAAGAGCUGCUGUGAAAUGGGAUCGUCAUCCUCCAGGGAGCUCUGGUGCCUCCAUGCCUUAAGCAAUCGUGACUAACUCUCACACCAGCCUGGCACGUGAGUUAAGCAGUGCCACUUGGGAAUACCGGGAAGUUCACCAACAGCCUCAUUUAGCAGUGAAAGCUGGGUUUGCAACUCUGUGAUGACUCCGUGGCGGGUUUAGAGCUCAGGCAUGUGAGUCUCAAAUCAGACAGCAACGUCAAGCAAAUAACACUCCCACUAAGGCUUGCUUUAGUUCUUCUCAUCUUGCUAUGCACGAGUACCUUUUACUUCUUUUUAUUUUAUUAUUACUAUUUUAGGUUUCCUUUUCCUCACACCCUGACUCAUUUUGCAUUUUUCUUCCAUUCCCGUGCGCACAAAGGGCAGCACAAGACCAGCCGAUCCUUUAGUCUUCUCCAGCGGCUGUUCCAGACCCAGAUAUUGAGCCUAUCUGAGAAAUCUGAAAGGUCUGUGACCAACCCUGCUGCCUCAAGAAGGAUGUCUUAAAACCAGGAAACAGAGAAGAAACAAACAACUUACUGUGGACAAUCAAAAACCAACCUCCAACAAGCCACCCUUCUUCUGGGGACAUUCAGGAUGCUGAAACACAGAUCUAGAAGUGUUGCUGACUCCUACACAGCCAUGUCCACAGAGGUGCUUUCACCACCUCCACAACCUAAGCCAUGGACAGAUGUCCUGUUCAAGACAUGUAUCCAGCUCCUCUAACCUACCAUCAGGACUCAUUAGAUGGAAGGACUGAUUUGGGUCAAGGGCUAAAGGGCAGCACUGCAGCCACCCACUCUCCCAGGCCAUGCUUGGGGCCAAGCUGGCUCCAAGCACCUCUCACAGUGCAGCCACCCCAAGGAGUUGUGCAGCUCAGUGUCGUAAAGGAUGCUUCGUUGUGAAGCAGAGGGAGAUGACAGCUUCUUGCUUCACUGCCAGGAGCAAAGCUGUGGCUGGUACAAGUUCAGACCUGACUGUGAUGUGCCCUAUGUGCAAGGAAGAGUCAGGGGAGACACUGAUGGCAUCAAAGUUGACAAGACCAUUGACAAGGGAACAGUGGCUCACUGGGAACUGAGGACUUGAGCCAAGAAGAAGCUGCAGGUGGAGCACAAAGUGCCACCAGCUCUGACAGCAGCAGCAGCAGCAGCACCAACGAUGACUGAGGGUCAUUGACCACUGAAUGCUGGAUGUAUCUGACUGAACCAACAGCCUCAGGGUGUUUGCAGAGUUGGGGACAAAAGACUCCGUUUUAAACCUCGUGGUUUAAAGAAGCUUUCUAAUAAGACAUCUGCCAAAGGCCCCAGAACCAGCAACUCUGAGGAAGAAUACACCAUUUUGAAAGCUUGGGGUGUUUAAAGCACACUCAAAUGUGUCCCACAAAUGCUACAUAGCAUCAAUGAUACUCUGAAAACGCUCUUCUGGUCCAAAGCGACUCCAUGUUUUCUCCCUUUUUCUCCUAUGUCUUGUCUGCAGAGCAGGUGAUCCAGAUAUGCUUUCCAGAUGAAAGGGAAUAUUCUUACUCAGGAAUAAAUUAUUCUGGAAAAACAGUUCUUAAGAUGCUAUUGCAGCAGGGGUAAAAAUAGCUGAACAGAUGAGAUGGUCUCUCUGACAGCACAAACACUUCCACGUGCCUAUAGAGCAGAGAAAAUGAAGCCUAUUGCAGGAAACAGAGGGAACCUGUACACAAAAGAAGGAAAUUUGGAAAGAAUGACUAAUCUAAGAGAGGAAACUAGGUGCUGUGGCCUGCUGUGAGCAAGGCAAGUGUCUCAGAGCAUCAGGCUAAUGUGCAUGUCGUGCAGUGCAUGCUGAUGGGUUCUAGUGGAGCAGGGCUGCUGGGCUCUCAGGGACUGAAGCUCUGAGGGCUCCAUCUGAGGAAUGCUGUGGGAUGAAGUUUGAACAUGCUCCUAACAUGCCAACCCAGGAACUGCUUAUCCCUGAGUGUCAGCAUAGUGAUUUAUGAGGGGAGCCCAGUUUAAAGCUUCCAGUGCUGGAAGCUGUUGCUUUUGGGAGGAGUGAUGAUUGAAACAGAGCUUGCUGGCUCCUGUAGCUUCCUGUGGGUGCCUGUUGUGUGAUAUGAUUCUCUCAUCGCAAGAAAUGCUUCUUGGAGACAACAAAGAGCCCACAGAUAGGCUCCUGAUCCAUUUUAUCCUUUCCAUCCAUCUCCCCUGUUGUCUCAGCAGAGCUGCCCUCCUUUCCCAAGGCUCCCACCCCAGGAAUUCCUGGGGAGGGGAUGUGUGGGGCUUCAGCUUUGGCUUUUAACUGUUCACUACCAAGAUUACACUGAGGGAUGGUUUGACCUGUUGGUGAAUGAGGGCUCAUUCCUUAGAGGUGACUUGGCUGCAGCACUCACAGGGCUGUGGGGAAGUGAAAGAACAGAUAAGAACAUAAGGAGACGCUGAAAAACAGCAGGAGAGACUUGGGAAAGCCAUUGCUCCUACCCGGAGCAAAAGACUGAGCAUCAUUGCUGGAGGCAUGGAUGGGAGAGACUGAAAAAGGAGGCACAAAGCUUGCUGUCAUCUGCAGGUUUGUCCUGCCAAGAGGUGAGCUCAUCAGGUGGAACAAAUUCAUCAAAACCCACCCCUCCACAGCCUGUGCCUGACCUCCUAGAACUGCCUGGUUUGGGUUGGAAGGGACCUUAGAGCUCAUCCAGUUCCAACCCCUUGCCAUGGGCCCCUCCACUAGAGCAGGCUGCUCCAAGCCCUGUGACAAAUUCAAAGACCUUGACCAUAAGCAACCCUGGGAUCUGUAGUGCAGAGCUGCUGAUCCAGUAUAUGUACUUGAGUUGGGUCAUAGCAGGCUCCAUGGCUCCAGUUCAGUGAUGGAUGGACAUGCCAGAGCCCAGAUUAGAGGUUAUCUAGGCUAUUUAGGUUAUUCUAGACAUCUGUAUUAUCUCAGUAUCCAGUAUCCAGCCCUCUCUAUGAUUCUGGACAGUGAAGAACUGGUUUUAUCCCCACAGCCUUCAAACUUUAACUUUUGGCUGCUCCUUUUCUCCUCUUCAUCACAUACCACUUCUGCCCCAAUGCAUCUCACUUGAUUUCACUGUGUUCACUGAAAAGGGUGUAAGAGUUUCUUUUAGCCUGCUAAAUUAUCACUAACCCAGAGCACAGCAUCCAGAAUGUCCUGUUUUAACAGCUCACAAAGGCUGGCAGACAGCCUGCUCUGUGAGAGUGGGCUUUGAACAGAGUUGGAGUUGUCCUUCCAGCCUCUGGCCCAGGGACCUGCAGUUGUUAUUCUUACCCAUAGGGUCCAGUCCUUGGGCUUGAAUCCAGCCCAAGGGGAAAAGAGGGUACUCAGUAUCAGAAAAGGAGAUGGGCUUGUGAUGCCAAUUCCUCUUUCUUCUAUUUUAUCCAUUCUAAACCCCGUUUCUAAACACCUUUUAGGGAGUGCAUUCAAGGCUGUGGAUGGCAGACUGCCUGGGUACUUGCUACUGUUCAGUCUUUUUAGAGGGAGAAGCCCUUUGUAAGCAGCAUCUUCAAAGGGAGAUGUUGUCUCUUGUCAAACAGAUGGUCCUCUGCCCUCAGGAGAUCUUUCCCAAGGGUCAGGGUGCCCACUGCAUGGUCCCAGGCCAGGAAAUUAGCAUGAAUACAUGGUCUGGAGCAGAGGCCCAGGGGAUGUCUGGGUCCAUUAGGAUUCCACCACUGCGACUGGACUCUUUGCUAGCUCAUAAGGCAUGAUUCAUGCCUAGGCCUUUCUUCGUGGCAGGGUUUUUUAGAAGAGCUCUCUCUGAUGCAUAAUGAGAGCUGAGUGAGUGAUGGAUCCUUCCCUCACUCGGGAUAUUUAUAGCCCUUUGCUUUCUUCUACAGCAAGUCACCUAUUUUCGCAAGGCUCGUGGGCGCCUCGUGUCACUGAGACUUCAGCUCCUCUGCCAAAGGAGCCUGGCCAGGGGCUCAGAGGUUCCCCAGCGCUGGGAUGGUGGAUGGCUGGGGGCUUCUUAAGAAACCAAUCUAAAAGCCAUGAGACUACACAGGUCACUGUGUGUUUGGAGGCACCAAGGGUCAAGUUUCCCAUCUGCUUCUCCACAGACAGCCAGGCUAACAUUAGUUUCUUGGUUUGCACUGGGCCUGGGUUCUCAUAUCUUGCUGUGGAAGCUGAGAUUAUAUUGGUAUCAUCUCUUCCAGGGUGCAUCAGCUCUGACCGUACCAGGUGGGAUAAGAUCCAAAGCAUCUGGUGUGGGUUUAUUAUAGCUCUUCUCCUUACACAGAAUGGAUGUGGACCAGCAUGGAUGGUCCCUGGGGGCUUAUUCUGCUUUCUGGGUAAGCAAGCAGAGCUCCCUGACUACUCGUGUUUCCCAAAGCCAUGUGUCUGGAUACCUGCUUUCACCUGGAGGGCUCAAGAGAGCGGAGCAGGUCACUAGCAAAGUUGCCAAGAUGUCCAUCCAAUCUCUAAGGCACUGUUUCAUAGUCUCACAUAGCUGGAGCCACAGGGAAUGGAUUCCAGAGCUGGAUUCCACAAGGAAUGAAUGCUUGCACAAUGGAGGUUUGAGCCUAAGGGAAGCCUUCUGUAUCAGAACAAAAUAAAUAGAGGGUUUAAAAUACUUCAUACCCCUUUGUAACUUUCUCCAGGGAGAGUUUUGUGUCUUCUGCUCCAGCAGUGAAUGCAGGCUGCCAUCUCCCAUUAUGGGAACAAUAGGAAACAGACUCAAACUGAGGGCAAACCUCUAUUUUGAGGGUUCUUUCCAUCAGUACCAAACCCACAGCUUCUGGGGUUUUGUCUUCAUGUAUUUUCCUUUUGAUUUGUUUUGUUUUAGCACAGGA